ACCAGAAUAGCAUAAUGGUAAUGCGUUUGCUUGUUAAGCAACAAGAUAUAGGUUCGACUCCUUUUUCUGGUG
rnacentral:tRNA from 1 species